GAUGAACGCUGGCGGCGUGCCUAAUACAUGCAAGUCGAGCGAACGGACGAGAAGCUUGCUUCUCUGAUGUUAGCGGCGGACGGGUGAGUAACACGUGGAUAACCUACCUAUAAGACUGGGAUAACUUCGGGAAACCGGAGCUAAUACCGGAUAAUAUUUUGAACCGCAUGGUUCAAAAGUGAAAGACGGUCUUGCUGUCACUUAUAGAUGGAUCCGCGCUGCAUUAGCUAGUUGGUAAGGUAACGGCUUACCAAGGCAACGAUGCAUAGCCGACCUGAGAGGGUGAUCGGCCACCCUAGAACUGUGACACGGUCCAGACUCCUACGGGAGGCAGCAGUAGGGAAUCUUCCGCAAUGGGCGAAAGCCUGACGGAGCAACGCCGCGUGAGUGAUGAAGGUCUUCUGAUCGUAAAACUCUGUUAUUAGGGAAGAACAUAUGUGUAAGUACCUGUGCACAUCUUGACGGUACCUAAUCAGAAAGCCACGGCUAACUACGUG
rnacentral:rRNA from 1 species